rnacentral:rRNA from 1 species
UUACAAUGAAGAGUUUGAUCCUGGCUCAGGAUGAACGCUAGCUACAGGCUUAACACAUGCAAGUCGAGGGGCAGCAUUUUAGUUUGCUUGCAAACUAAAGAUGGCGACCGGCGCACGGGUGAGUAACACGUAUCCAACCUGCCGAUAACUCGGGGAUAGCCUUUCGAAAGAAAGAUUAAUAUCCGAUAGUAUAUUAAAACCGCAUGGUUUUACUAUUAAAGAAUUUCGGUUAUCGAUGGGGAUGCGUUCCAUUAGUUUGUUGGCGGGGUAACGGCCCACCAAGACUACGAUG